rnacentral:rRNA from 1 species
GUGACCCCAGAUCAAACGGGACUACCCGCUGAGUACAUAUCAAUAAGCGGAAGAAAAGAAACUUACAAGGAUUCCCCUAGUAACGGCGAGCGAACUGGGAAGAGUCGAGCAUUAGAAUCGGGCGGCCCCGCGGUCGGAAUUGUAGUUUGGAGAAGCGUCCUUCGCGACGGACCGGGCCCAAGUCCCAUGGAAGGGGGCACUGGAGAGGGUGAGAGCCCCGUCGUGCCCGGACCCUGUCGCACCACAAGGUUCUCUCGGCGAGUCAGGUUGUUUGGGAAUACAGCCCCAAGCGGGCGGUAAAUUCUGUCCAAGGCUAAAUACGGGCGAGAGACCGAUAGCGAACAAGUACCACGAGGGAAAGAUGAAGAGAACUUUGAAAAGAGAGUAAAAGAGUGCUUGAAAUUGACGGGAUGGAAGUGGAUGGGGGCCGGCGAUGCGCCCCCGUCGGAUGCGGAACGGCUUUGCCGGUCCGCCGCGUAUUGAGGGGGCGGCUUAAGCCCAGGCGGUAGAUAUGCCCGCGGAGCGCCGUCCAAGCGAUCGUGGAACCCAGCGCGCGCCGCAAGGUGAAUCAACCGCGCGCUUCGGGCAUCCGCCGGCGGGCCCUCAUUCGGCCCGUCUUGAAACAUGGACCAAGGAGUCUGACAUGUGUGCAAGUCAUCGGGCGAGUAAACCCGUACGGUGAAAGGAAGCUAAUUGGCGGGAUCCCCUAGCGGGCUGCACCACCGACCGACCUUGAUCUUCUGAGAAGGGUUCGAGUGCGAGCAUACCUGUCGGGACACCAAAAGAUGGUGAACUAUGCCUGAACGGGGCGAAGCUAGAGGAAACUCUAGUGGAGGCCCGAAGCGAUACUGACGUGCUAAUCGUUCGUCUGACUUGGGUAUAGGGGCGAAAGACUAACAAAACCGUCUAGUAGUUGGCUCCUUCAGAAGUUUCCCUCGGGAUAGUUGGAGCUCGUGCGAGUUCUAUUGGUUAAAGCCAAUGAUUAGAGGCAUCGGGGGCGCAACGCCCUCGACCUAUUCUCAAACUUUAAAUGGUAGGAUGACGCGGCUGCUUAGUUGAGCUGCGCCACGGAAUCGAGAGCUCUAAGUGGGCCAUUUUUGGUAAGUAGAACUGGCGAUGGGGGAUGAACCGGAAGCCGGGUUACGAUGCCCAACUGUGCGCUAAGCUAGAUCCUACAAAGGGAGUUGGUCGAUUAAGACAGCAAGACAGUGGUCAUUGAAGUCGAAAUCCGCUAAGGAGUGUUGAACAACUCACCUGCCGAAUCAACUAUCCCUGAAAAUGAAUGGCGCUUAAGCGCGCGACCUAUACCCGGCCGUCGGGGCAAGAGCCAGGCCCCGAUGAGUAGGAGGGCUCGGCGGUCGGCGUAAAACCAGCGGCGCGAGUUGGGGCGGAGCGACCGUCGGUGCAAAUCUUGGUGGUAGUAGAAAAUAUUCAAAUGAGAACAUUGAAGGCCGAAGAGGGGAAAGGUUCCAUGUGAACGACCCUUGCACAUGGGUUAGUCGAUACUAAGAGUCGGGGGAAGCCCGUCCCAUAGGCCGCGAGCGCGAACUUCUAAAGGGAAUCGGGUUAAAUUCCCGAACCAGGACGUGGCGGUUGACAACAACGUUAGGGAGUCUGGAGAUGUCGGCGGGGGCCUCAGGAAGAGUUAUCUUUUCUAUUUAAGAGCCUGCCCACCCUGGAAACGGCUCAGCCGGAGGUAGGGUCCAGUGGCUGGAAGAGCGUCGCACGUCCCGCGGCGUCCGGUGCGCCCUCGGAGGCCCUACAAAAUCCGUAAGACCGAGUGCCGAUCACUCCCGGUUAUACUCAUAAUCGCAUCAGGUCUCUAAGGUGAACAGCCUCUGGUUAAUGGAACAAUGUAGGCAAGGGAAGUGGCAAAACGGAUCCGUAACCUCGGGAAAAGGAUUGGCUAUGAGAGUUGUGCACGGGCGUCCCACCUCCGAAUCCGUCGGCUGUCGGCGGAAGGCUCGAGCUGCUCACACGGCGAGAGCGGGUCGCCGUGGACCGGCCGGGGGACGGGCUAGGAACGAAUCCUUCGGGGGCCUUCCCCGGACAUCGAACAAUCGACUCAGAACUGGUACGGACAAGGGGAAUCCAAUUGUUUAAUGAAACAAAGCAUUGCGACGGUCCUUGCGGAUGUUAACACAAUGUGAUUUCUGCCCAGUGCUCUGAAUGUUAAAGUGAAGAAAUUCAACCAAGCGCAGGUAAACAGUUGGAGUAACUAUGACUGUCAUAAGGUAGCCAAAUGCCUCGUCAUCUAAUUAGCGAUGCGCAUGAAUGAGUUAACGAGAUUCCCACUGUCCCUGUCGACUAUCCAGCAAAACUACAACCAAGGGAACGGGCUUGAUAGAAUCAAUGAGGAAAGAAGACCCUGUUGAGCUUGACUCUAGUCCGACUUUGUGAAAUGACUUGAGAGGUGUAGGAUAAGUGGGAGUCUUGCGGCGAAAGUGAAAUACCGCUACUUUAAACGUUAUUUUACUUACUCCCUGAGCCGGAAGCGGGGCAUCGCCCUGCUUUCUAGACCCAAGGGCCGCGUCCAAGGCCCGAUCCGGGCGGAGGACAUUGUCAGGUGGGAAGUUUGGCUGGGGCGGCACAUCUGUUAAAAGAUAACGCAGGUGUCCUAAGAAGAGCUCAACGAGAACAAAAAUCUUGUGUGGAACAGAAGAGUAAAAGCUCGUUUGAUUCUAAUUUUCAAUACGAAUACGAACCGUGAAAGCGUGGACUAACGAUCCUUUAGACCUUCGGAAUUUUAAGCUAGAGGUGUUAGAAAAGUUACCACAAGUAUAACUACCUUGUGGCAGCCAAGCGUUCAUUACGACAUUGCUUUUUGAUCCUUCAACAUCGGCUCUUCCUAUCAUUGUGAAGCAUAAUUCACCAAGUGUUGGAUUGUUCACCCACCAAUAGGGAACGUGAGCUGGGUUUAGACCGUCA